rnacentral:lncRNA from 1 species
CUUUGUUGGAGCGUACUGUAAAAUAAAUAAUGUGUAUUAGACUAUUUGUGCUUUGAGACCAUUCAAACUGGAGUUGUGAGAUUUAGUAAAGAGAGAAACCAACUUACACAAUUAAGCGUGGCCUCUUUCAUCAAAGAUAAAAAAAAUUAACAAAGCACUAAACUUACAUAGUAGUAACGUUUUAAUUGGAUGCUACUAUCCUUCAUCUCUUCCACAUCAAUACUCUUCUUUCCCACUUCUUUCUCCUCCUCCUCUUCGUGAUCUUCUUCUUCAUCCUCUUCAUGAUCACCAUUGUCAAUCUGCUCAUCUCCCACAAUCUCCUGACAGACACUGAACUCCUAAAACUUCCUCUGAGAUCUAUGACUUCUCCUCGAUGGUCUCAUCUCAUGGUACAUGUACGUCCUAUGUAAUCUUAUUAAAUCUCUCGGAACUGUGAGCUGACAAAGAAUUCCCCUUCCUCAGUGGAACUGAAUCAAAACCUGACGUGCAAGAUAUAUACGGAAUCAGAUCCCGUAUAGUGAGUAUACGACUUAUGUGUCAAUAAGAAAACGGACCACAAUACGAAUUGUAGCUGCGGUAUUGCUUCAGGAGGAGGGUGAUACCCAUGAAUUCUACAUUCUUCUUGAUGAUGCGUGAAUCCUAGAAAUGGAGGAGGCGGCCAAAAAUCACCUGAGAGGCACGGCCAUGGCAGAGAUAUAUAGUCAAAGGUGGUGUGGUGAACCUCAGGUUGAAAGGAAGUUGCAUAAAAGCAUGCAUUUUCAGCAGAUGGAUAACAUGUUAGACGGAGGAAUAACUAAAAUUUGUAGAUUGGAUGUUGGAUUCUCGGCUCAGCCCUAAACUAUUUAUAGGAAUAACUCUGUUCUCGGUUUUGAAACGCUUGAGAUUUUGGUGCAGAGAGUAAAGAGGGGGAGAUCGAGAGAUAUGGGGUCAUAAAAGUUGAAUGUUAAAGGAGUAUUCAUUGAAGUGGUUGACAAAGCAAUGGUUCAUCAUAGGAAUGGAGAAAGGGAGGGGAGAUAAAGGGAUAGCAUGAGUUAGGAGAUGAAGAGUCGAAUGGCUACAGGAUACAGAUUUCACAUAAUAUUUUCUGCCAGAAAAAAAAAAGAAAAAGAAAAAUAAAGAGCAACAUUUCAUCGUCUGAGGUGAAACAAAUUUUUGACCUAAUCAACUCCACAGUUAUUUGACUAAUCGAAUCUUAAUUUGGGCUUAUGAGUCUAAUAACCACAUGUAUUAAGAUGCAA